rnacentral:rRNA from 1 species
AUUGAACGCUGGCGGCAUGCCUUACACAUGCAAGUCGAACGGUAACAGGUCUUCGGAUGCUGACGAGUGGCGAACGGGUGAGUAAUACAUCGGAACGUGCCUAGUAGUGGGGGAUAACUACUCGAAAGAGUGGCUAAUACCGCAUGAGAUCUACGGAUGAAAGCAGGGGAUCGCAAGACCUUGUGCUACUAGAGCGGCCGAUGGCAGAUUAGGUAGUUGGUGGGAUAAAAGCUUACCAAGCCGACGAUCUGUAGCUGGUCUGAGAGGACGAUCGGGCAAACUGGGAGUGAGACACGGCCCCGACCCCUACGGGAGGCAGCAGUGGGGAAUUUUGGACAAUGGGCGAAAGCCUGAUCCAGCAAUGCCGCGUGCAGGAUGAAGGCCUUCGGGUUGUAAACUGCUUUUGUACGGAACGAAAAGCCCCGGGUUAAUACCCUGGGGUCAUGACGGUACCGUAAGAAUAAGCACCGGCUAACUACGUGCCAGCCGCCGCCGUAA